UUUUUUUUUUUGCUCGACCCGGUUGCGGGGCGCGGCAAUUUUUGGUGGGAAAUUGAAAUUAGAUAAUUGACAAGAAGAGUUCAUGGAAGAAAACCCUUUGCUUGUUUUUCUUUUCAGUCUUUCUGUGGGGUUAAGCGAGUGACUAGUAUGCCGUAUGCCAUAAUUAAAUCUGGAUGCCUGAGUCUCAGUUCAUCUGUCCUCACUCUUUCAAGCUAUCUUCUUUCAUAAGAAAGUAGCUUCUGUGGCCACUUUUAUGUUUCCAAAUGUUAGAGGUUCCUCUACUCCAUGUCCUUUUUCUUUCAGUUUUCUUAGCUUAGAUGAAUUCGUUUAAACGAUCAUAUGAUGUAUUUUGGUGACAUAAUAUGGCUCCCUUCCUUUUACAAGAAAAGUAAUUGGACAUCAUUUAAAUGCUUGUGCAGUUGCUGAAGUUUGUCUUGGUUUUGGUUUGUUCUGGGGAUUCAAAUCUUCAUUUUUUGUUCGAGUUUAUAGCGUUUU